AUAAUUUAUUUAGUUUAUAUCCCCCCCUCUUGGUGUAUUCCUUUAUCGCUGCUUUGUUUUAUAGCAACGUACUUCAUGUACACCUAGGAUUUUAUGACAUGCAGUAGAAAUAAAUUGUAGUUUUUUUUAUUGCUUAGAGCCGAAUAUCACAGGCCACAAGAGUAAAUGACUCCCUUAAAAACUGGAUUAUAUGAGGAAAAUUCACAAGGAUACUGUAAUGAUAAUAUGAGCAGACACGCAGUAUAUAGAAAUGUAUUUUAUUUUACUAAAAGAAAUUAAACCGGUUCAAAUUUAUCAAACCUUUUUUCUUGCUUGCCUGAGGUUUGGCCAGUAGGUGUCCCCAUGCACCCAUCUGUAGCCCCCAGGAAUGUUUCCAGACCUUCAGAGACAGAUUCCCUCUUCAGGCAGUGCCUCAAACACUGGAGCGUGUCCAGAGUCGCCCAGGCCUGAAAGACAGCCAUCAUUAUCCAACUCUCACAAGGUGUCAUUGUAGGCAUCCUGUGAUUACCAUAUCAGCACCACAUGAAACAUUUAUGGCUUGCUGGCAGUGAUGCUCUGGCAGGCAUCCUAAUUUCUCCAACAGGGCUUGUCAAGUUCUAUUGUUUAAAGUUCUGGUGGCAUGAGCAGAAAAAAAA